UUUGUUUGGUUCAUUUUUUUACUACCGAAUGAUUAUUCCAUGUAAGCCUCUAUUAUGGGUGAGCACUGAAUAACCAUUCUGUAAAUAGGGCUCUGAAUUGGCUAUUCUUUGUUGUCCGUAAUAGCCUUCUACUUUUGAAGAUAAAAAUCUCUUUUCAUCUACCUUCAUCAUUUUCUCUAGAUGCGUCUGUUACAGUGAGUAACAAAGUUAGAGGCAAAAUCUACUUCCAUUAUCGGAUUUAGUACUUUCCAACAAGCUGGUUUUGUAUGAUUUGGAAAAUCAAACCAUUGGAUUGAGCACAAUUGAUUCCCCAACUCGACUAACUUGAAAAUUUUCGACUCGAUUCGACUCAACUUGAUCGAAUACUCACCCCUAAUACCUGGUGGGCCCUAAAGCAUGGUUGACUGAUAUGUACCAAGAAAGAUAUGAAGUUAGGGAAAAGAAGAGUUCUAAGAAGAGACUAAGAGGAUUGAAGGCCACGGGGAGUAUGGAAAGUGAUUCAGAUUGAAGAUGUAACAGCCCGUUUUUCAGUGGUGUCAGAAAUAGUCAUUUCAGGGCCACCAAAUCCGACGACUAACAUUGUAUCGGAAUCCUCGACUAAAAAGGGGAAAGAUAAAGUCGACAUCGAAUAGCUCAGAAUUUCUGGUUAGGUACUUAACUUUUGAUCGUCAAUUCAGCAUCCAACAAUGAUCCCGAACUCAAAUGUGGUGAUGUUUAUCUUUUGUGUCAGCAUGUACCUAAGGUGUCUAAAUAAUAGUUAUUUUGUGGUUUGAUUGUAAAUGAGGUUAUAAGUUUAAUUUUGGUUGGUUUUAUACAUAUAAAUAUGUGUUUAUUUUUGAAGUCAUAUUAUGGUAUGGUAAAUUGAACUAAA